UAUAAGAUCUAUUACUUUCCAUCAAAAUUUCUUUCGUCAUAAUCAAGUUAAGCUGUGCAUGUGUCUAUCUAUCUAGGAGUUGUAUUUCAAAGGUUUAUUUUUACCUAGGUGGAGUAACGUGACUACAUGUGUACCUAGGGAUGUGAGCAGAAGGAUAUGGGAAACUCCUCCUUCAAUUGCUUAAAAUAAUACUGUUAACCUACAUGUUCUCUCUUUCUAGAUUAUAUAAAUUGAGCCAUGAGCAUGCACAUGAUCCAGCUCCAAUCAGGAAGGUGAGGACAAGGCCCUAGCUGUGGGGGGAAGAAAAAGAGAACCUAGAUUCCUGAAAGUCUGCAACGAGUAGAGGAAGACAUUGAUGCUAAGUAUAAAAGUAUGAGAAUAACUGCGUUAAAAGACGGGAACUUAGCUUUGUUGAAAGAUCCUCAUGAUCCAUCUGAAUCACCAGCGAGGUUCAGCCUGAAAUGGAGAAAGCAGAGCAUCUCAUCUAAAAACAGCAUCUCCAAUUUCUUCCUGUUUCAGAAAUUAAAAUCAUAAGGAAAAAAUCUUAUUGUCUUGGCUCAGGUCACUUGACACUUGAACCAAGGAAAGUCUGCAGUCAUAAGCUGGCCUCAACACACUGAAGUAUAUUCAGCAUUAUAAACACACUGAAACACCAAAAAGGCUGAGAUGCACAUAAUUUGAAGAGUGAAAAUGGCUCGAGAGCAUGAAGUCUCAUUAUCUGUAGGUUCUCACCUCACUGAAGCAAGACUGGUAAAUAAGUUUUGAAGAUGAAGAUAAAACAGAAUAAAUUAAGGAAGAAAAAAAAGAAGAGGAAAAUCUCCCAAACUGGCCUGUCUUCAAUGUUCCUUUGAACUGUCUCUCCUACUGCACUCUUUACAUUUUAAUGACUUGAGUGUUUACCAUUUAUGCAGGAACAUACCCUUAAUGUGCUCAGAAGUGAUGCGUACCUUCUAUACAUGAGACAGACCACCCAGCAAAAUACCAAUCCAGCUUAGGGUCUGUGAAGUAUUAUCCAUUUGUCUAAAAUGUACUGUACUAAACCUUAUAAUACUUUGUUAGCUGGUUAUGUCAAAUUCUCAUUGUAAUAUAAAGAUUUAAGUAAAAUAUGAACAAAUUGACAAUAUCCAAUACCAAAAGGCCAUAAAAACCUUUUUCAGAAAUAUAACAGACUUACAGCCUUGCGUAGGUCAGCAAAAAUGGUAUGUACCAGAGCAUAGUUAUGAAAAUUUAAAGAAGUGUAUAUUUCUUCAUUUAUUCUGUACCCGUUCAACAUUGUGACAAGCAUAACAGAUUUACAAUUCUUACAUACUUUUUGCUAUAUUUCCCCUCUCAAUAUGAUGUCAUUCCAUUUUUUUUUACAAUUUUUACAAAUGAAGACAGAGGCAGCUUAUUAAGACCAACUACUCCCAGGUUUAUUUGUGAAGAAAGUAAGACUCACCUGUGCAGGUCCAGAAAUGUUUUAUUUUUCACAGAAGCAUUAAAUUUUGGUACUAAUGGGAACAAGAAAGAUUAUCUCACCUUGUCAGUUAUUAGAUGCAGCAAUACUAAAACAAAUUUAAACUGGAAGAUUUCCUUCUCAGGGUUAUAACAAAUACUAAAUUAGGUUAUGUGUUUUGUUGUUCAGAGGCAUACAAAUAUUUGUAUAUAAUCAUUAGGGUGCUGGCAUUGAUGGGAUUAAUUAUGCAUAUUACAUUACUUAAUCAUCUUCACAUGUGAAUCUAUUAAAAUGAUAUAAAUUGAAAUAAUAUUAAACAUAAUGCUGGAUGUGAGCAGCGAGCAUCAAAGUAGAGGAAUCGGAUGCAUAUAUGUGUGUAUAAAUGUAUGUGAAUUCAUAUGUAUACACAUACACACAAAGAGAGGAGUUGGUAAGAGACAGAGAAAUGAGACAGAGCUUUAAAACAUGAGAAAUCAUCUCAUAAAAGUGCUUAUUUUAAAAAUAAGGACAUUUAGGCUAUGAGAGAGUACAAUACUUGACCAAGGUCCCAAAUAACAGCCUGUGUUAGUAUGCCCACUUAAUGAGAAUGACAAUGAGGUAUGGAGAGGAGAGAGAGCAAAAGAGAGAGAGAAAGAGAAAAGAGAGAGGUGGAGACUGGAGUUUGGGACUGGGGGAAUUUAAUCAUGGUUGUAGAAGUAUAAUUAGCAUAAGAACAUUAAUUAUAUGUUGUCAUGUUAUAGAAGGUUUUACAAGUACUAAUACUUUAUUUUAUGCCUGAUUUAGUCAAAGAUAAUUUUUACUAAGUCAUAGUCUUACUUAUUUUGCAUAGACAAUGGUUUUUAAAAAUAUGCAUCUCAAAAAAUCUUGUUUGAAUUUAUUCAAAGAAAUUACAUCUUCUGGUCUCAAAUACUGGCAUUCAGAAUCAUGCAUUUUAAAAAUGUUCAAUUAUACUUUAAAUUUAGUAACUAUAGCAUUAUAUUGAUCAAACAUAUUUGAUGAUUUAGGCUAUAAUUUUUAAAAAUGCAGUAACUCAGGGUCAUUAUUAGGAAUUAAAACCCACAUUUGUGGCAGGUUGUAGACUAACUGAUCUAUUUAGUUACAUUUGGAUCUGCAUUUGGGUCCAUUCUUGCCCUUUCCCUUUCAUGCCACUGCCUGCUUAAUUUUCCUCAUCAGAUAUUUUCUCACAGAGCAGUCCCUGAACAGGAUCACAUGAAAUACUUCAUAAUUUACUGAUUUUAUUUACACUUAACAAAAUAUACUCUCUCAGGUGUGGGGUUUAAAAUUUUAGCAUAAAUUUCUUAGAUAAUACUAAUACUGGAAAGAAUUUGUGACGUCUCCUUCUAGUAGAUAUAAACGCUACCAAUUCAGUUAUUUUUAUUAAGUAGUGAAAGAGAAAGAGAGAGAAGAAGAGAGACAGAGAGAAGGAGAGGUAGAAGGAGAGGAAGGAAGGAAGGAAGGAAGGAAGGAAGGAAGGAAGGAAAGAUAAAUUUAAUAUAAUGCUUUUCUGGCUAUUAUUUUCAUUUUACAAGACAGGUGAAAUGGAAAAAUAUAAUGCUCAAAGAUGAAUUUUUAUUUUGUGAAAUUUAGUGUUUUUAACAUACAAACUAGUCCUAGAUUAUUAUUCAAGGCAGAUUUCAAAUUUCUCAAUAUUGAAAAUUUUUGAUUGACAGAAUGACAGAUAAACCAAUUGUUUCUGACAAGACUUGUACAACAUCUUAUUUUUUUACAAUUCUGAAGAUUUUGUAAAAUGCCAAUUAGUGCUCAAAUCCCAUUAGUAAAUUAAUUAGAAUGUAGUUAAAAUCUGCCACAGAGAUUGUAAAACAAAUCAAAUAAUGCAUCACUAUCCACUCUUGAUAAUAAAGAAAUUUUCAUUUGGCUCAAGGGAGUUGGCACAUUACUAAUUAGUAUUAAUUCAGUUGUUCUUUGUUGUUUAAGAAUAAAUUUAGUAUGACCCAUAUCAUUUCUAAGAAACAGAAAUUAAAUAAUUUAUUCCUCCUUCUUUUACUGAUUCUCACACUUACCUUUUUGUUUCUAACUACAGGCUUUUAGAGAUAUAAACCAGAUCAAAUUUUUGCAUAUUGUCUUUUAAAUCCUAGCAUGACUUUGUAUCAGUUAGAAUAGCUUAAGUAGAAACUAUUAAAGCAAAUUAAAAUGAAGAUCAUUUUAAUGAAAAUCCCUGAGCUAACCAAGCCACUUCGGCCUUGAAAAUAACUUUAACCUUGCUUAAGUUGCAAAUAUAGGCAGAAAAUGCGGGUCAUUUCUUGUAAAUGCCUAUAUUAAAGAAAAACAGAACUUAAGCUUAAACCAAUAAAAGGAAGCCAGAUAACAUGAUUACAGAACUAGGGAUUUUUCAGUGGGAUGGAGCAAAUAAGGCAAUUUUAUGAUGCUUAUCAGUUAAACAUUUUCUUUGUAUUACCUUCUGAUUCAUUCUAUAAAAGUAUAUCCCUUAUGCUUUUUCAAUGGCAUUGAAGAACCACUUCUUGCUUAGAGCUGCCCUAUUCAUGAAUUACUGUUUGUUUAAAUACAUUAUAUAAAUUAUAUUUACCUCAGUUUAUCUUUUUAACACAACUAACAAAUAUUCUUAAUUUGACUUGCUUUGAAAAGUAUUGCAUUUAUUAUCUCACAUAGGUGGAAUCUCACACAUAGUGACAUUUUCAGGCAGGUUGACUAAGUGGCUCAUUGUUUUCAAAGACCCAGGUUCUUCUCAUAAAUCUGAAAUCCAUUGGAUUAAAUUCACCUAAAAGCUUGUUCCUCUCUUGAUUUCAAGAUAGUGUCUAUCACUGCUACAGGUUUUCUUACUCAUCAUGCAACAUUAAGGAUAGCCACAAAUAAUUUGAUAUUUCUCCCUCUUGAGAUGAAUUCUAUGUACCAUCCCCUUGAAUUUGGGUGAGAUCUAUGUCUAUUUGAACAAUGGAAUAUGGCAAAAGUGAAUCUGUGCUUUCUCCUAGACCCAAGCCCUAAAAUACUGGUAGCUUCUACUUUGUCUGUCUUUGAACACUUGCUUUUGCAGCCCGAUGGCCAUACUGUGCAAAAGUCUAACAAGCCCCAGAACAGGCCCCCAUGAAGAACAACUGUGGCUAGCUGAACUCCCAGGGAACAGCCCACACUAUCUAAUGAUUCAUGUAAAUUACUAUCUUAAAUGUGAAUCUUCCAUUCCCAGUCCAGCUGCCCAGCUGAUGCCACAUGGAAUGGACACGAGUUAUCCUCACAUUGUCUUGCCCAGAUUACUGGUUUGUGAAUUAAAUAAAUGACCAUUGUUUAAAC
rnacentral:lncRNA from 1 species